GCCUAGUUAGCUUGGUUGGUAGCUUGUCUGCCUUGUAAGCGGUAGGCCGCGGGUUCGAUUCCCGCCCGGGGCA
rnacentral:tRNA from 1 species